rnacentral:lncRNA from 1 species
CAAUCCCUUUCACCAUAAAUACAUGAGUACUGUGAAGUGACAAAGCAAACAGUAUCUCUAAACCAGAGAUGAGGAACCACAGUGCUGCCUGUGCCAUACUGCAGGUUUGCAGAGAAGAAGAAUAAAUGCAUAAAUACACAGAAGCAAGUUCUUAGAUAAGAAACGAAAGGGAAAAAAACUGAGGAGGUGUCACAGUAUGUGAAAAAAGUAAUUCUUUUGCCCUACAAAAAUACAUGCAGCAAUAAUUCAUAUCUCUGAAGCCUGAAUAAAUUGAACAGAAAAAUAAUUGUUUCCCCCA